AGCAGCAGCCACGGUAAUACGAAGGGUGCAAGCGUUAAUCGGAAUUACUGGGCGUAAAGCGUGCGUAGGCGGUGAGUUAAGUCUGCUGUGAAAUCCCCGGGCUCAACCUGGGAAUGGCAGUGGAUACUGGCUCGCUAGAGUGUGUCAGAGGAUGGUGGAAUUCCCGGUGUAGCGGUGAAAUGCGUAGAGAUCGGGAGGAACAUCAGUGGCGAAGGCGACUAUCUGGGCCAACACUGACACUGAGGCACGAAAGCGUGGGGAGCAAACAGGAUUAGAUACCCCAGUAGUCCCUGUCUCUUAUAC
rnacentral:rRNA from 1 species